rnacentral:rRNA from 1 species
AUGUGAUCGUCUCUCGCAUAUCAAUAAGCGGAGGAAAAGAAACUAACAAGGAUUCCCUAGUAACGGCGAGUGAAGCGGGAAGAGCUCAAAUUUGAAAUCUUAAAGGGUUUCCCUUUACGAAUUGUAGUUUAAAGAAGUGUUUUCUGUUGAGGUUUUGGUAAAAGUUCUUUGGAAUAGGACAUCAUAGAGGGUGAGAAUCCCGUAUUUGACCUUUACUUUCAACUUUGUGAUACACUUUCAAAGAGUCGGAUUGUUUGGGAAUGCAGUCCAAAAUGGGUGGUAAAUUUCAUCUAAAGCUAAAUAUUGGCGAGAGACCGAUAGCGAACAAGUACCGUGAGGGAAAGAUGAAAAGAACUUUGAAAAGAGAGUUAAACAGUACGUGAAAUUGUCAAAAGGGAAGCGUUUGACACCAGUGUUGUUUUUCUGAAAAUCAAUUAAAGAACUGUUUAUGCUAAGCUGUUUAGACUUUAUCAGCUAUCUGUUUAGUUUUGAGCUUUUCUUUAAUGCACUUUUCAGUUAACAAGUCAACAUCAAUUUCUUUUGCUGUAAAAAAGCUUGAGGAAGGUGGCUUGAGAUUCGUCUUAAGUGUUUAUAGCCUCUUGCCUAUGCAGUCGGAGAGAUUGAGGUCUGCAGCGUAGAUCCUUCGGGGCUAAAUGCAUUUGUGCUAAGUUAUAGCAUUUUAUAGACAACUUGUUGACUAUGAUUUGUCUUGUAGCUUACUCGCUUAUGUUAUUUUACCUACGCUUAGGAUGUUGACUGAUAUGUAGUCGUA